GAUGAACGCUGGCGGCGUGCCUAAUACAUGCAAGUCGAGCGAAUGGAUUAAGAGCUUGCUCUUAUGAAGUUAGCGGCGGACGGGUGAGUAACACGUGGGUAACCUGCCCAUAAGACUGGGAUAACUCCGGGAAACCGGGGCUAAUACCGGAUAACAUUUUGAACCGCAUGGUUCGAAAUUGAAUGGCGGCUUCGGCUGUCACUUAUGGAUGGACCCGCGUCGCAUUAGCUAGUUGGUGAGGUAACGGCUCACCAAGGCAACGAUGCGUAGCCGACCUGAGAGGGUGAUCGGCCACACUGGGACUGAGACACGGCCCAGACUCCUACGGGAGGCAGCAGUAGGGAAUCUUCCGCAAUGGACGAAAGUCUGACGGAGCAACGCCGCGUGAGUGACGAAGGCUUUCGGGUCGUAAAACUCUGUUGUUAGGGAAGAACAAGUGCUAGUUGAAUAAGCUGGCGCCUUGACGGUACCUAACCAGAAAGCCACGGCUAACUACGUGCCAGCAGCCGCGGUAA
rnacentral:rRNA from 1 species